rnacentral:tRNA from 1 species
GGUGAGAUGGCCGAGCGGUCUAAGGCGCUGCACUCAAGUUGCAGUCUAUUCAUUUAGGCGGGGGUUCGAAUCCCCCUCUCAUCA